rnacentral:rRNA from 1 species
AUUGAACGCUGGCGGCAGGCUUAACACAUGCAAGUCGAACGGUAACAGGAGAAAGCUUGCUUUCUUGCUGACGAGUGGCGGACGGGUGAGUAAUGCUUGGGAAUCUGGCUUAUGGAGGGGGAUAACGACGGGAAACUGUCGCUAAUACCGCGUAGAGUCGAGAGACGAAAGUGCGGGACCGCAAGGCCGCAUGCCAUAGGAUGAGCCCAAGUGGGAUUAGGUAGUUGGUGGGGUAAUAGCCUACCAAGCCGACGAUCUCUAGCUGGUCUGAGAGGAUGACCAGCCACACCGGGACUGAGACGCGGCCCGGACUCCUACGGGAGGCAGCAGUGGGGAAUAUUGCGCAAUGGGGGCAACCCUGACGCAGCCAUGCCGCGUGAAUGAAGAAGGCCUUCGGGUUGUAAAGUUCUUUCGGUAUUGAGGAAGGUUGUUGUGUUAAUAGCACGACAAAUUGACGUUAAAUACAGAAGAAGCACCGGCUAACUCCGUGCCAGCAGCCGCGGUAAUACGGAGGGUGCGAGCGUUAAUCGGAAUAACUGGGCGUAAAGGGCACGCAGGCGGACUUUUAAGUGAGGUGUGAAAUCCCCGGGCUUAACCUGGGAAUUGCAUUUCAGACUGGGAGUCUAGAGUACUUUAGGGAGGGGUAGAAUUCCACGUGUAGCGGUGAAAUGCGUAGAGAUGUGGAGGAAUACCGAAGGCGAAGGCAGCCCCUUGGGAAUGUACUGACGCUCAUGUGCGAAAGCGUGGGGAGCAAACAGG